rnacentral:rRNA from 1 species
AAUGAACGCUGGCGGCAGGCCUAACACAUGCAAGUCGAACGGAUCCUUCGGGAUUAGUGGCGGACGGGUGAGUAACGCGUGGGAACAUACCCUUUGGUACGGAAUAGCCUCGGGAAACUGGGAGUAAUACCGUAUGUGGUCGAGAGACGAAAGAUUAAUCGCCAAAGGAUUGGCCCGCGUUGGAUGAGGUAGUUGGUGGGGUAAUGGCCUACCAAGCCGACGAUCCAUAGCUGGUUUGAGAGGAUGAUCAGCCACACUGGGACUGAGACACGGCCCAGACUCCUACGGGAGGCAGCAGUGGGGAAUUUUAGACAAUGGGGGAAACCCUGAUCUAGCCAUGCCGCGUGAUCGAUGAAGGCCUUAGGGUUGUAAAGAUCUUUCAGGUGGGAAGAUAAUGACUGUACCACCAGAAGAAGCCCCGGCUAACUCCGUGCCAGCAGCCGCCGUAACAC